rnacentral:rRNA from 1 species
UACGGAGGGGGCUAGCGUUAUUCGGAAUUACUGGGCGUAAAGCGCACGUAGGCGGCUUUGUAAGUCAGAGGUGAAAGCCCGGAGCUCAACUCCGGAACUGCCUUUUAGACUGCAUCGCUUGAAUCCAGGAGAGGUGAGUGGAAUUCCGAGUGUAGAGGUGAAAUUCGCAGAUAUCAGGAAGAACACCCGUGGCUAAGGCGGCUCUCUAGUACGGUACUGACGCUGAGACGCGAAAGCGUGGGGAGCGAACAGG